GACGUAGGGCGCGAGCGUUGUCCGGAUUUAUUGGGCGUAAAGAGCUCGUAGGCGGCUCGUUGCGUCGGCUGUGAAAACCCGCAGCUCAACUGUGGGCUUGCAGCUGAUACGGGCGGGCUGGGAUUCGGUAGGGGAGACUGGAAUUCCUGGUGUAGCGGUGAAAUGCGCAGAUAUCAGGAGGAACACCGGUGGCGAAGGCGGGUCUCUGGAACGCAACUGACGCUGAGACGCGAAAGCGUGGGGAGCAAACAGG
rnacentral:rRNA from 1 species